ncrna:unclassified sequences skipping-rope RNA
GAUUAUUGAGGUGAGAAAUGGCUACUCAUACGCUAAAUAUUUAGUAAAUAGAGAUGUAGGAUAUGUCGACCUACCAAUAACA